GGGAGCACAGAGGGGGCUGGAACUGGGCCCUGCUCUGGGGAAGCCCUGGGACCACCCAGGGACCUCAAGCACAGCCGGGCAGCUGCAGACCCUGGGGCUCUGGGGCUGGGGGGGCUCAGGCAGGCAGUGCCUGCCCCCAGGCAGCUCCCACUGUUCCCUGCACCCUCUGGCACCCACGGCCCCUGUGCUCGGGGGUCCACGUGGGGAGCCCACGCCUGCUUUGGCCACACGUGUUCGACCCCGUGGACGUGGGCAGAGCCUGGUGCUGCUGGUGCUGCAGCCCUGAGCGCCCUGCAGGGGACCGGGGGUGCUGAGGGGGUGCCGGGUGCUGGGAUCAGCCCCGUUUGCAGCCAGGAGUCAGGGGACACAGGCAGGACCCCGGGGUACGGGGUGAUGUGGGAUUGCUGCCAGCGGGGCCGUGGCACAAGCGUGGGCUGCGCGGGCACACGCGUGCGGUGCCGCGUGGGCAGGAUCGGUGCGUGUGGCGUGGCUGCCCUCUGCUGCCACGGCCACGGCAGCGCCCAGCACCACGGCACCCGUGGGACGCUGCGGGGGGGCCUUGGCAGGGACCCCCUUUGUGCAGAACAAUGGCAGCCCCCCUCCCGCCAGCCCCUGGCCCUCACCCGCAGCCUGCGGGUAGGGGUGAGGGGCUGCCAGGGCUGGGGGGGGCAGGGGAGGGGGCUCUGAGAUGUUGUUGAAGAUGAAAUGUCCCCACACCCCUCAGCUGGGACGGGGUCACCCAGCAGCCAGGAGGAAACAAAGCAUUUUCUGGGCUUUCAGAGCCCUGAGGAGGGGGCUCAGCCCCGGGUGGGCCGGUGUCGGUUCCUGGUGGUCUCCGCUGGUCUCAGGGGCGUGGGGCUGGUGUGGAUCCUGCAGUUCCAUCCCAUCCUCCAUCCCGCGUUGGGAAGCAGGUCAUGUCCAGCUCCCGGCACGGCGGCAGCGCUGGGGGAGCUCGGCUUUCUGGGGCAGCUCUGGGCUGCUGGAGCAGCCAACUGCGGCUUCCUGCGCUGCCGGGGCCCGGGGGAGGGAUUCCAGCGGCGCGGGGCUACGUGGCACUGCCGUCAGGGGGACAGGGCACUGGGGGGCUCAGCCCCCCACUCCUCUUCAGCUCACCCCAAAGAGGGGCUCUUGGCACCCGUCUCCUCCCUGGCAGCAAUACAGGGAGGGCUGGGGGGAAAAGAGGUUUCUGUGCAGGUUUGUCUGAGGAAGCUCACUGGGAGGUGGGAUGCUGGGAGGGGCUGGGAUGAGCACUGUGGCUCCUUGCAGAGGUGUGAGGUCAGUGGGAUGCUGGGGGUCUUGGCUGCUCCACGAAGGGCAUCCUUCUGCCCCAUGGAGGGCUCCCAGAAAGCUCUUUGCUCCAGGAGUUGCUCCCUCAGCUCGGGGCAGCUGAUCUGGGUGGUACCAGCCUGUGCGGUGCCAGGAUCCGGCCUUUCCCUGCGGAACGCCCGGCUCCCAGGGCAGGUGUGGUGCUGCUGGAGGCAGAGACGCUGCCUCUACCUGCCUCCAUUCAGAUCAGCGCGGGGGGAGCAUGGGGGAACUUUCCCGACUCGUUUCCCCACCUUAAGGGGAAAAAAAGAGAAGGAGUCGCAUGACUUGGAGCUUCCCGAGAGGCAGCGCGGGGAGAGUGACCCAGGGAGCCAAGAAUCUGCUCCGCUGUCGUGUCUCAUUCCUGCUCUGCGGUGCAGGGCUGGGAGAGGUUGGGUUACGGGAGGCGCGGAAAGGGGACGGUGCAGGAUGAGCUCAUGCGAGGGCGCGGGAACCUUCUGGGCAGGAAAAAACGUUGAUGCUGCAGUUCAGGGAUUUCUGCAAUCGCGGCUGUUCCCGCAGAUCCCCGGCUCGCUCCGCCCAGGCCGUCCCCUGUGCCCAGGGCAAUCGACCUGCCCGGGGGGGCUGUGGGGCUCAAGGUGAUUCACGUGCCCUCGCAGGGACACGGCAGCACACGGCGAGGAGCUGUGCAGCAAAGAGGGAGAGAGGGGGACAUGGGGUCCUGGGGGGACACCGGGGUUCUGGGGAGCUCCAGGACCCUUGUGCAGGGAGCUGGACCAAAGGCCACCCUGCAUGGGCUUGAGGGGGGUGUGGGACCAUCGGCCCCACCAGAAGUUGUGUCAGCAAACCCCAGUGUGAGGUUUUGCUACCUGGUCCCCACGGUGCCACCACCGGUGAGAGGGGGUGUGUGGAGGGGCACGAGGGGCCUGGAAAAGCUCCGAUUUCCCCCAGCACCAGGGCUGGCUCCCCUCAGUGUGUAAUUCACCCCAUGCUGUGUUCCUGGUUCCUGGCAGUUUUCUCCCUGCUGACUGUGGAUAAAUCCUUCCCACGUCUCCAGCCCUCCGUCCCACAAGGUCUCUCGGUGCCGCGCGGUCAGAGGCUGUUUGUCCUGUCCUUGGGUAGCAUCUCCUGCCCUUAAGAACUCGAUGCUGCAAAUACUCUUAGAUGAUGAUUAAUGAGCGCUUAUAUAACUGAGCUGAGUCCUUAAUGCAGCCGGGAGGGUGACAGGAGGGAAGGUGGGAGCAACAAACUGCACGUCACUGCAGCUGCUGCUGCUUUUCCCACACCAGAGCAGCCCCAUCCCGCACGGGGGGAUGCUGGAGGGAGAGCCCCCCACGGGGCAGCAGCUGGGGCAGCCCCCACCUGGGUUUCCCAGGCAGGUUUGGAUGCCAUGGCAUGGCCAGGCUCUCCAGCACGGCAGAGCUGGCAGGGGAAGGGUUUAUGCUGGUAAAGCAUCGCUGUGUGACAGUGUCUGGAAUGUUGUGCUGAUGCUGGUGAGCUGGGAGUGCUGGAAAAGGGUCCAAAUCCCACAGCAACACCUGACUGUGGCCCACGUGGGGUGAGAGGGCUGCUGCCAGAGCUGCUGUGUGCUGGGUGCAGUUGUUUCUAAAUUUGGCUGUGUUUGGGCAGGUAGGGGUGGCCUGACACACAGGAUUUGGUUUUCCAUAAUCUGGCUGGGAAGCACCAGCCCUGAUAAAUCUGCUGCUCAGCGCCAAGGCACUUCCAUGGUUGCCAUGGUUUCCACAUGCUUAUUUUCACCAUCUUCCUCACCUCAGCCGGGGUGCACCGGCAUUCCCAGCCCCGAAUCCCCCCUCACCUCAGCCGGGGUGCACCGGCAUUCCCAGCCCCGAAUCCCCCCUCACCUCGGCUCAUUUCCUAAUACUCUGGUUUGGGUAUCCCAACGCUGCUGUGCAUCCCAGCUCUUUGCUGUGCCCCCGAUCCCCCUGCUCCCUGUGCCUCCAAUCCCCCCCCUCUCGGUGGAUCCAAUCCCCCCAUGACUGCAGAUCCAAUUCCCCCACUCCCUGUGGAUUCAAUCCCCCCACUCACUAUGGAUCUGAUUCCUGUGGAUCCAGUCCCCCAUUCCCUGUGGCUUUGUCCUACAACUGGGUAAAUCCCAGUCACAGGAACUGGCCGAGGGAAGCGCAGCAGCCCCGGCUCCUCGCCAUGGCAACGGCAGGAUUGCGUCAGGGCUUUUCUUUCCAACUGCAAAGCUGGAUGAGCAACUCCCUCAGGGACAGGAGUAAGGGAGAAGGGAAUAUUCUUUUUCCCGGGGGCUUUGGGACUGCCAGUUCCCAAAUCCAGCCCCAGCUCAGUGUUUUGCUCCUUGCUCCUGGGUCCAGGGCUGCGAUGGGACAGUGUGUGGUCAUACAGGGCUGAGACACCGGGGACAGUGAGAAUUCCUGUGCUGGGGACAGUGAGUGCUCCUGUGCCAGAAAGGCUCCGUGUGCCUUCCCCACGCUGUGGCAUCUCUGCUUGUGGCACAGGCUGAGCUUGCAGGGAGGCGGGGAAGGAGCCGGAGGUUUGGUGAUGGAUGGCUGCUUCAGUCCAGCCUCGCAUUCCCUCUUUCCCUGCAGCCCCAGCAAAAACAAAGGGAGAGAAGGCAGCUCUUCUGCCGUUCAGGAUGUGCUGGGCCUCGCUGGACCGUGCUGGGCUCUGCUGUGCCCCGGUGCAGGAGGGUGGUCCUGGGGGCUCCCCAAGGCCCAGGGGGAAGAGCGCGGUGCCAGAGCCUGGAGCAGGCGUGGGCUGGUGGGUGGUUGUGUUCCCUCCCAGCCCUGGGUAAGGCACGGCCCCAGAGCAGAGACACCCAGCGCUGGCCCUGGAGCAGGCGUGGGCUGGUGGAUGGUUGUGCUCCCUCCCAGCCCUGGGUAAGGCACAGCCCCAGAGCAGAGACACCCAGCGCUGGCCCUGGCGCUCGGGCACCCUCUGCCCCAUCCUCCCUCCCGGCGCUCCCCUCCCGGGAGGAGCUGCUCUGGGAUUUGGGAACCUCAUCAGAGUGGUGCCCGGGGCGGGGGCUGCCCUUGGCUCCUGAGCAGGUGCCAGGGCUGCCGAGCAGGUUUGGGCUCCUACACAGCUCUGGGCAGUUCCGUGUGCCCUGGAAACAGGCCAGGAGUGCAAAGACUGGGAAAGGUCCCUACAAACACCACAGCAAGUGCUGCUCAGCGAGGACCCUCAGAGAAAACACCCACAGGUGAGGCUCUGGAGCUUACACAGGGAUUGGGGCAGGAUUGGUGCAGAGUGACCUCUGUGUUCUGCCUUGGGGUGUUGUGUGUUCGGGACCCCCUGGCAGGGCCCUGCUGCUGCAGGAGGUUUGAUCUAAGGACCUGAAUCCUGUGUUGUUUCAUUGAUUAAUUAACUGCCCUAAUGACUUGUGCGGGUGAGCUGCUUGCCAUCCUGAUCCCAGCACCACUUCCAGCUGGAGCCCAUGGGAUGUGCAGAGAUGUCCCUGAGCCCCUCGGGCAGGUGACACAGGGCUGCUGCAGCCCCUGUGUGCAGCCUGCUCAUGGAAUACCCUGCGCUGGAAGGGACCCAUGAGGAUCAUCGAGGCCACGGCUGACGUGACACACACCGUGUCUGAUGCCCUGGGUCAGGAACGAGCAGAUCUGGAGCACGGAAAGCUCCUGGGAGCUGUGGAAUUGGGGCAGGAGCGUGGUUUCCUCGGUCCAGCUCUCGUCGUUUCACUGGGUAACUCUGUCAGUGCCAAAGCAAAGGCACCAACACACCCAGAAUCAUGGAAUAUUCUGAGUUGGAAGGGACUCACAAGGAAGUCCAACUCCUGUUACAGAUGUUUUCUUCUUUACUGCAGAACAUAUCAGAUACAAUUAAUUAUAUAUAUAAAAAUGUAAAUUAUCAUUAUUCAGUGUUGUUAAUUUGCUCUCAGGACUGAAAAGUGAGUAAAUUUUUUCACAGUAAGAAAUAAUAAUAAUAAUAACAAUAAUAAUAAUAUUGUCUUGAUCUUGAUAUUGGGCUUUUUUAGGUGUUUUUGAGCACUUUGGUGGCACCGUCCCACCCCUGCAGGCCUGUGUGCUCAGAGAAACCACUGAUGGGGUUUCGUAAUUACUGUAUGUGUUGUUUACAAACAGCCCUUUUCCUGCAAAUCCCGAAGGUGUAGCAACAAAUCAGGGAGGAAAAGGCCAGUUUCUGUGCUCUGGGAGGAAUGGAAUGGAAUGGAAUGGAAUGGAAUGGAAUGGAAUGGAAUGGAAUGGAACAGAAUGGAAUGGAAUGGGCGCUCCCUGCUUGGACAGAGCAAUCACAGGCAGAUUUCUUUGCAUCUCCCUGCGGUUUGUUUGUCUCUGUCUCAGCGCUCGGUUUGGAAAUCAAUCACCAAAGAGUCCUUA